AGAGUUUGAUCAUGGCUCAGGACGAACGCUGGCGGCGUGCCUAAUGCAUGCAAGUCGCACGCACCGUGCUUGCACGGUGAGUGGCGCACGGCUGAGGAACACGUGGGCAUCUGCCCGUCCGUGGGGGAUAACGGGGCGAAAGCCUCGCUAAUCCCGCAUACGUUCCCCUGGUUUCAGGGGAGGAAAGCAGCAAUGCGCGGACGGAGGAGCCUGCGGCCCAUCAGGUAGUCGGCGGGGUAACGGCCCACCGAGCCGAUGACGGGUAGCUGGUCUGUGAGGACAACCAGCCAGACUGGGACUGAGACACGGCCCAGACUCCUACGGGAGGCAGCAGCAAGGAAUUUUCCCCAAUGGGCGCAAGCCUGAGGGAGCAACGCCGCGUGCGGGGUGACGGCCUUCGGGUUGUAAACCGCUUUUCGUGGGGACGAUUGUGACGGUACCCGCGGAAUAAGCCCCGGCUAACUCUGUGCCAGCAGCCGCGGUAAGACAGAGGGGGCAAGCGUUGUCCGGACUGACUGGGCGUAAAGCGCGCGCAGGCGGUCUCGGGCGUCGGUGCUGAAAGUCCACCGCUUAACGGUGGGAUGCGUGCCGAUACGCCGAGACUGGAGGGUGGGCGAGGGUGGUGGAAUUGCCGGUGUAGUGGUGAAAUGCGUAGAGAUCGGCAGGAACACCCGUGGUGAAAACGGCCACCUAGCCCGCACCUGACGCUGAGGCGCGACAGCGUGGGGAGCGAACGGGAUUAGAUACCCCGGUAGUCCACGCCGU
rnacentral:rRNA from 1 species